rnacentral:rRNA from 1 species
AAUAAACGCUGGCGGCGUGCCUAACACAUGCAAGUCGAGCGAGAAAGCCCUUCGGGGUAAGUACAGCGGCGGACGGGUGAGCAACGCGUGAGAAUCUGCCCUUUAGUGAAGAAUACUCCCGAGAAAUCGGGCAUAAUACUGCAUAAGUCCCUGCGGGGAGAAAGAUGGCUUUAUGCUGUCGCUAGAGGAUGAGCUUGCGUACUAUUAGCUAGUUGGUAGGGUAAAGGCCUACCAAGGCGAUGAUGGUUAACCGGCCUGAGAGGGUGUACGGUCACACUGGAACUGAGACACGGUCCAGACUCCUACGGGAGGCAGCAGUGAGGAAUAUUGCGCAAUGGGCGAAAGCCUGACGCAGCGACGCCGCGUGGAGGAUGAAGGUCUUUGGAUUGUAAACUUCUGUUAAGUGGGAAGAAAAAAAUGCUUCUAAUACAAGCAUAAAAUGACGGUACCACUAGAGAAAGCACCGGCUAACUUCGUGCCAGCCGCCGCAGUAACAC